AAUAGGCUAGUCCACAGAAAUCCGCCCACUGCAGUAAGCUAAUCAAAUAACCCACCAAAUCAAUAAAAAUUUCAAUAGCAUGACAUGGCUAAUAUAAUAUUUCCCAACAUGUCAAGGUAAAACAAGAUAGUUUAUAUAAUCCACAAACCACAAAUCCAACCAUUCAUGCCAUCACAUUGUCAUAAGCCAUCAAUUCAAACCAUAUAUAUAUAUAGAUAACACAAGUAUAUAGUCUCCACCUACUCAAUUUCCAAAAUCGUCAUUGAAUUGCAAAACAAUUUAUAAAUCUCAUUCAUUUAACCAACACUUAACUUAUAAAACAUAAAAAUCUACGGUUUAAAUUCAUUAUUCUUUAAAAUCAUAAAAACGAGUGUAAACUACUUUAGAUAGUUAAGGUGAACAUUUGAUUACUCACAAUAACGAGAGUUUGGAGUACUCCUAUUCUUGGUCCUCGGGUACGAUAUCUUUACCCUUAUUAGAGGGCUCACCACCUAUACAUAAUAACGACACGUAAUUCAAUAUAUUUGUGCCAAACUGUUAUAAAACUAUUUCAAACUCUAUAUGAAUGCAUGAAAUUGAAUGAGAAUUGUUCGAAUAAUCACUUAAAAACGGUGUUCUACGUGGGUUCAAUUAUGAUCAGACUGAAUUUGUAUUCGACCUAACUUGAACUAUACACUGUUGAAUUAACCAAAACAUCCGAUUCAACUUAAAAUAUAUUCAUUCCACUUUCAAUAUUCCAAAUACACCAAAGUACCUCAAUGAGCUUGAUUGUGACUUAAUUCAUCGUAACCGAAAUUCAUUCCGAUUCCGAACUAACAUGUUAAUCAGUGUUAACACAGUCCAAUAAAUCCAUCUAUAUCAUUAAGAAUCAAAUCCAAGUCCAUUUACUAUGAUUUUCUCAUUAUUGUUCAAGUCGUUUACUAAAGGAACUAUACUUUUCGAUAACAGUUUUCGAUAUCCGAUACUAUAAAUCAUCAAUUACGAGCUAAAUAAAAUGAAAUACAACAAAAUCCAUCAUUCAACAUGUCACGUAUAACAUUCGGCCAAAGAGGGUUGUUGAAGGGCAUGCGAUUUUCUUGCUUGUUUUUCAUGCCAAACAUCAUCAAACAACUAAAAAUACUAAGAUAUCAUGAAAUCUAGCAAAAUCCAUCAUCAAAACCUCUCUCCCUAUGUUUGGCUAGCAAGUAUUCCCUCAUGGAAACUUGCGUUUCAACCAUAGAAAAUGAAAAACAAAGCAUGGGAAAGGUAGAUUUUAAGCUAAAUUUGAAAAAUCUUACCUUUGAUUGCUUUGUUCUUUGAAAUUCAACAAAUUUCUCUUGAAUUUUCCUCUCUAGGGUUUGUUUCUAUUCUUUUCUCUUUGUUCUUUGCUUUGGU
rnacentral:lncRNA from 1 species